CAAAGUUUUGAAAUUCUAUGCCAAGACAUUUUCUUCCUCUCCGCUAAAUAUGACAAGGGAACUGUAUACAAGUUUGGCAAAGUAUUUAGAGAUGUACUUCCUUUCUGAAGAUAGUUAUGUUCCUACCAUAUCAAUAGGUAUUGAUAUAAGCAACCCAGAUAUAAUCCGUUUACUUAAAAAGAUACGUCUGCUAAAUGAGUACCAGAGGGAAGUACCAUCUUUCUGGAUUCGUCAUCCAGAAA